CUCAGACACAACGUCAUUUUCUAACACUAACGAGAAUACAAAGGAGAGUAUUUCAACAAUCUGGUGGGCUUUCUUCUAUUCAAGAUGAAUAUCACUUUACUGGUAUCUCUAUUUACCCUGUUGCUGAUAAUUAGUCCACCUGAAGUGUAUGCAGUCUCCACCGCGCCACCUGUCGUCACCGCGACUCCUGUCGUCACCGCGCCACCGCCUGUCGCCACCGCGCCACCGCCCGUCGUCACCGCGCCGCCUGUCGCCACCGCGCCGCCUGGAACAGGUGGAGGAUCUAAAGGAGGUGGAUCUACUUCUGGAGGGGGAAAAAAUGGAACCUCACGGAAUUUCACGACAGCAAAUUAUUUCAUCAUCAUUCUGUUGAACAUAUUUUGUUUUCUCUUUCUUGCGUCGGUACCUCAGUAAAUCUUAUACACGUUGUUAUUAAAAUCUAAACAUUGAACCAUAUUAUGCUGGG